CCGAGCCGCCCGCACCGGCAGACGCCGCAGCCCCCGCCGCGCCCGCAGAAGCGGCAGCCUAACGACUUCACCAGGACUUCACCAGGACACGCGACCAACAAUUCACCGAAAAAUUUCCUCCUUCCUUGUGAAACAAUUCCCCGACUGAUAAUCGCACCCCAUUCCAUAUGCAUCUGCCAGACCCAAGGUCUGACCUGACAUCGCCCAAAACCAACCCCCGGAGAGUCUCUCUCAUUGUCAAGCAUUCUAGAAGCUUUCGGACGAACCGCAGGUUCCCUCUUGACUUGAACAGAUAACCUCUGAGAGCAAAUAAAGAAUCUAGUUUCCAGCGUGAGAACGAACCCGA